AUUUUUGUAGUCAGGUGUGUUAGCUGGGGCGAAACUGUGACACCAAUCAGGCCCCCCGAGGACUGGAUUUGCCCAUCCCUGGGUUAGAUUAGGGGGAAAUGAUAUACCACACCCAGGCAGAUUACAGUAUUGUAAAAUAUUUCUUUCUUUCCAUGAACUCGGCACACAAGAAGAAAAUCUCCCUGGAUGCCUCCAACAAACAUAGACAAGAUGUUCUAACAUGUAUCAUCCACACAACCAUCUGUAAAGUAGAGGUACAACCUAGAAAAGCUCACAGAUAUCAAGGGAGAUGUAGGACUAUUCUUCUUUCACAGGAGAACAAUUCACAAAGGAAUAUUUUUUAUGUCGGUUUUUAUCCUUUUAAUUCCAAGAUUGCCAAAGACAAUUUUCCAUUAACCUAAUGGACAAUAAAGUUUUCUUUCAAAUCUGACUAACUAGAUUUUGGGCCGGGAGUUCUUGUUGUGUUCAUUUGGUUGUUCGGGGAAAAGGGGAUACAAUCAGCUUUGGCCUUCUGCUGGGUACAAGGCUGGUCGGAGUGAGAAAUUAAAUAAAUGCUGCUCUUACAGCUCCCAGCUGUCUCUAAGGUUAUUCUCAGAGACACCGCUAUUGCUAUAAAGUCUUGUCCCACUUAUCUCACACUGUGAAAAUAUUCCAAACACAGACAAUUAAGUUGUUUGCUUCACAGUGCUCUUCCAGUAGGUGACAGACAUUCCUGAGACAUUCAGGUGAGAGUAAGACAUUCUUGAGACAUUCAGGGGAGAGUAAGACAUUCUUGAGACAUUCAGGGGAGAGUAAGACAUUCUUGAGACAUUCAGGGAGAGUAAGACAUUCUUGAGACAUUCAGGGGAGAGUAAGACAUUCUUGAGACAUGCAGGGGAGAGUAAGACAUUCUUGAGACAUUCAGGGGAGAGUAAGACAUUCUUGAGACAUGCAGGUGAGAGUAAGAUAUUCUUGAGACAUUCACAAGGAUGUCAAACCCUUGCGUGUGUCGUCACAUGGACUGAGUGGCUCUAUCAUUGGAGAAGCUGUGAGCAGCGUUAGCCUAUAGCAUACUGGCCUAUAGCCAUCCUUUGGGAUAACAUCACUGCCGACAUUUAAACAGUCUCAUAACUCACACACACACACACACACACACACACACACACACACACACACACACACACACACACACACACACACACACACACACACACACACACACACACACACACACACACACACACACACACACACACACACAAACAA